rnacentral:rRNA from 1 species
AACGGAGUUCUUAAGGAAUGCGACUUCGGUCAAAUGACUUUUGAACUUAGUGGCGGACGGGUGAGUAACGCGUGAGCAACCUGCCUUUCAGAGGGGGAUAACAUUUGGAAACAGAUGCUAAUACCGCAUAAGAUUACAGUACCGCAUGAUACAGUGAUCAAAGGAGCAAUCCGCUGAAAGAUGGGCUCGCGUCCGAUUAGAUAGUUGGUGAGGUAACGGCUCACCAAGUCGACGAUCGGUAGCCGGACUGAGAGGUUGAACGGCCACAUUGGGACUGAGACACGGCCCAGACUCCUACGGGAGGCAGCAGUGGGGAAUAUUGCACAAUGGGCGAAAGCUUGAUGCAGCAACGCCGCGUGAGGGAAGACGGUUUUCGGAUUGUAAACCUCUGUUUUCGGUGACGAAUAAAUGACGGUAACCGAGUAGGAAGCCACGGCUAA